GCCGGUCGGGCCGCUGCGGGGCGGCGAGGCCCUUGGCCCGGAUCUCGGGGCGGGCCGCCGGCACGGUGUCCUGGACCUUCUCCAGGGACGGGCGC
rnacentral:tRNA from 1 species